GCUCACUCGGGGCCGGGGGGCGGGGUAAGGCGUGGGGGGGGGGCGUUAAUGGGAAGUACUGGGCUGAAAGCGUGCGCAGGCGGUGUUGUAAGACAGGCGUGAAAUCCCCGGGCUUAACCUGGGAACUGCGUUUGUGACUGCAAGACUAGAGUACGGCAGAGGGGGGUGGAAUUCCACGGGUAGCAGUGAAAUGCGUAGAGAUGUGGAGGAACACCAAUGGCGAAGGCAGCCCCCUGGGUCGAUACUGACGCUCAUGCACGAAAGCGUGGGUAGCAAACAGGAUUAGAUACCCCGGUAGUC
rnacentral:rRNA from 1 species